rnacentral:snoRNA from 1 species
GCUGUGAUGAAUUUAAUUGCAUUGAUCAUCUGAUAUGAUUGUUGUCCUCUAAGAAGUUCUGAGCUU